UACGGAAGGCAGCAGUGGGGAAUAUUGCACAAUGGGCGCAAGCCUGAUGCAGCCAUGCCGCGUGUAUGAAAGAAGGCCUUCGGGUUGUAAAGUACUUUCAGUCGUGAGGAAGGUGUUAAGGUUAAUAACCUUAGCAAUUGACGUUAGCGACAGAAGAAGCACCGGCUAACUCCGUGCCAGCAGCCGCGGUAAUACGGAGGGUGCGAGCGUUAAUCGGAAUUACUGGGCGUAAAGGGCACGCAGGCGGUUAAUUAAGUUGGAUGUGAAACUCCCCGGGCUUAACCUGGGAAUGGCAUUCAAGACUGGUUAGCUAGAGUCUUGUAGAGGGGGUAGAAUUCCAUGUGUAGCGGUGAAAUGCGUAGAGAUGUGGAGGAAUACCGGUGGCGAAGGCGGCCCCUGGACAAAGACUGACGCUCAUGUGCGAAAAGCGUGGGGAGCAAACAGGAUUAGAUACC
rnacentral:rRNA from 1 species